GUGGGGAAUUUUGGACAAUGGGCGAAAGCCUGAUCCAGCCAUGCCGCGUGCAGGAUGAAGGCCUUCGGGUUGUAAACUGCUUUUGUACGGAACGAAAAGAUUCCUUCUAAUAAAGGGGGUCCAUGACGGUACCGUAAGAAUAAGCACCGGCUAACUACGUGCCAGCAGCCGCGGUAAUACGUAGGGUGCAAGCGUUAAUCGGAAUUACUGGGCGUAAAGCGUGCGCAGGCGGUUAUAUAAGACAGAUGUGAAAUCCCCGGGCUCAACCUGGGAACUGCAUUUGUGACUGUAUAGCUAGAGUACGGUAGAGGGGGAUGGAAUUCCGCGUGUAGCAGUGAAAUGCGUAGAUAUGCGGAGGAACACCGAUGGCGAAGGCAAUCCCCUGGACCUGUACUGACGCUCAUGCACGAAAGCGUGGGGAGCAAACAGGAUUAGAAACCCGGGUAGUCC
rnacentral:rRNA from 1 species